GAGACACCCUUAUGGGCUAGGACUUGCUUCAGUGGGGCUUUGGUGCUCACUGAGUCUGCUUCUUGAGUGUGUCCCU
rnacentral:pre_miRNA from 1 species